GCAGCCCUCGACCACUUUCCAAAACCUUGGAGUGACCCCUCCUCAAAAAUUAUUGCUCUCCCCUGUUGUAGGGGAAUGAUGAACAUUUGCCUGAGUGGGCAGCUGAGGAUUAGUCUUGCAUCAGGGAAUUCUCCAUGGUCAGAGGCCCUGGCCUGAGCACUGCUGCCUUCUAGUGAUUCUCCAGUUAAGGGAGGGGCCCCUCAGGGCCACGUGUAGGUAGGUGUAAUUUAGAGCAGCCUCGAGGGUGCUCUGAGCGGAGCCAGGAAUUGAAUCAGCGAUCUUUGCUCAGCUUCUUGGGUCCUGUACCAAGUCUCUUAGGAUAUAAUCCAUGAAGUUUUACAUUUGGAAAAGCAGCCUGGAGUGGGGGGAGAGCCUCACUUUAAUGCCUCAAUAAAAUGUUUGGGGGUGGGCUGAACAUACACUCACACUAGAUGUUCCAGAACAUUAUUUCUUAAUUUCUAGAUUGCCCGGUAGAGAGAACUCGUAUUACUUUUGGGGGGAGAGGCACAAAGGUGCUGUUUUGUUUUGAUACUCCAUCCAGGUAGGAACUAACACGACU